CCCCUAGAUGUUCGGGGCCGCACGCGCGCUACACUGAACAGUUCAACAAGUCUUAACCUUGGCCGAUAGGUCUGGGUAAUCUUUGAACGCUGUUCGUGAUUGGGAUAGACCUUUGCAAUUAUGGGUCUUCAACGAGGAAUUCCUAGUAAACGCAAGUCAUCAGCUUGCAUUGAUUACGUCCCUGCCCUUUGUACACACCGCCCGUCGCACCUACCGAUUGAAUGGUCCGGUGAAAUCUCGGGACGGCGGCUUGGUCGCUUGCGUCCGACUGCUGAAACUUGAUUAAACCAUAUCAUUUAGAGGAAGGUGAAGUCGUAACA
rnacentral:rRNA from 1 species